rnacentral:rRNA from 1 species
UACGUAGGGGGCUAGCGUUGUCCGGAAUCAUUGGGCGUAAAGCGCGUGUAGGCGGUCCGAUAAGUCCGCUGUGAAAGUCGAGGGCUCAACCCUCGAAUGCCGGUGGAUACUGUCGGGCUUGAGUACGGGAGAGGCGAGUGGAAUUCCUGGUGUAGCGGUGAAAUGCGCAGAUAUCAGGAGGAACACCGAUUGCGAAGGCAGGUCUCUGGGCCACUACUGACGCUGAGAAGCGAAAGCAUGGGGGAGCGAACAGG